rnacentral:rRNA from 1 species
AGGACGAACGCUGGCGGCGUGCUUAACACAUGCAAGUCGAGCGGAAAGGCCCUUCGGGGUACUCGAGCGGCGAACGGGUGAGUAACACGUGAGCAACCUGCCCUUAGCUCUGGGAUAGCUCCGGGAAACCGGAAUUAAUACCGGAUAUGACCUAGGCCGACAUCGGCCGUGGUGGAAAGUUUUUCGGCUAGGGAUGGACUCGCGGCCUAUCAGCUAGUUGGUGGGGUAAUGGCCUACCAAGGCGACGACGGGUAGCCGGCCUGAGAGGGCGACCGGCCACACUGGGACUGAGACACGGCCCAGACUCCUACGGGAGGCAGCAGUGGGAAUCUUGCGCAAUGGGCGAAAGCCUGACGCAGCGACGCCGCGUGGGGAUGAAGGCCUUCGGGUUGUAAACCCCUUUCAGCAGGGACGAAGCGAAAGUGACGGUACCUGCAGAAGAAGCGCCGGCUAACUACGUGCCAGCAGCCGC